UUUCCGUAGGUGAACCUGCGGAAGGAUCAUUACAAAUCAGGAGGUAGAGAGUGAGAGUGUGGAGGGGUAUGCGAGACUUGACUUGCGAUCCUUGGCAUAUGCGAGACUUGACUUGCGAUCCUUGGCAUAUGCGAGACUUGACUUGCGAUCCUUGGCACUUUCUACUCUCUCAUAUAUUGGCACGGGGGUGGUUGUCAUUUGAUGAUGGCUACUCCUGAUGUUUACGCUUGCAAAUGUUUGACGGGUUCAGAGUGACAAUCAAAUUAAUUUGUACAACUUUUAACAAUGGAUCUCUUGGCUCUU
rnacentral:misc_RNA from 1 species